UCAAGUUUGAUGAAAUGUCCUAAUAUGUAGAUGUAGAUGCUAAGUCAUUCAGUCACCUAGCUUGUGAGAAUGGAAUGCUCACAAAAAGGACAAGAGCUCAGAGCUGUAUGGAAAUUUACACAAAGGGUCAGUUAACGGAGUAAGCAGAUAUGGAGGAUAAUAUAUCAAAGGCAGCAUAGGCGUCCAAACUCCUG